AGGCGGUGUGCGGGGAAGCUCGCGCGCCCCGGCGAGCCGUUGGAGGCGCGCGCGGCCGCCAUGGAUCCGUGAGGGCGCCCCAGCCCCGGUGCCGGUGCCGGCGGGGCAGCCGGCAAGGCUGCUGCCGGGAGGCAGGCAGACAGUGCGGAGCGUGCCCCAGAGCGCCGCAGGGGUCGCGCUGGCCUCUGAUUGCUCAGGCUGAACUUGCUAUCUAAGAGGCUGUGUCUUGUACUCCUUGAGAUACUAAAUAUUUGGAUCCUUACCAUUUGAAUAUUGGAAGCUUGAAAAACAUCACUGCAAACAAAGCUGCCUUUUGGGCCUCCACCCUAAUUCUCCUUCCCCUUACUUAAGCUAUUCUUCUCUGCUGGAUUCAGGAAAAUUAAAAGUUUCAACAUACCUGGAAGCCAAAG